GUCCACGCCCUAAACGAUGCUGACCAGUUGUUCGGGAUUUACAUCCUGAGUAACGUAGCUAACGCGUGAAGUCAGCCGCCUGGGGAGUACGGUCGCAAGAUUAAAACUCAAAGGAAUUGACGGGGACCCGCACAAGCGGUGGAUGAUGUGGAUUAAUUCGAUGCAACGCGAAAACCUUACCUACCCUUGACAUGUCACUAACGAAGUAGAGAUACAUUAGGUGCCCGUAAGGGAAAGUGAACACAGGUGCUGCAUGGCUGUCGU
rnacentral:rRNA from 1 species